UACGUAGGGUGCAAGCGUUGUCCGGAAUUAUUGGGCGUAAAGAGCUCGUAGGCGGUCUGUCGCGUCGUGCUGUGAAAACCUGGGGCUUAACUCUGGGCGUGCAGUGGGUACGGGCAGACUAGAGUGCAGUAGGGGAGACUGGAAUUCCUGGAUGUAGCGGUGAAAUGCGCAGAUAUCUGGAGGAACACCGGGUGGCGAAGGCGGCGAUCUGGCCCAACAUUGACACUGAGACCCGAAAGCGUGGGGAUCAAAACAGGACUUAGGAAACCCG
rnacentral:rRNA from 1 species